GGUGUGGUGGCCGAGUGGUUAAGGCUCCAGGCUUAAGUCCUGGCAUCGUAAGAUACCGUGGGUUCGAACCCCACCCGCACCA